rnacentral:rRNA from 1 species
GGUAGAGAAUACCAAGGCGCUUGAGAGAACUCGGGUGAAGGAACUAGGCAAAAUGGCACCGUAACUUCGGGAGAAGGUGCGCCGGUGAGGGUGAAGUAUUUACUACGUAAGCCCAUGCCGGUCGAAGAUACCAGGCCGCUGCGACUGUUUAUUAAAAACACAGCACUCUGCAAACACGAAAGUGGACGUAUAGGGUGUGACGCCUGCCCGGUGCCGGAAGGUUAAGUGAUGGGGUGCAAGCUCUUGAUCGAAGCCCCGGUAAACGGCGGCCGUAACUAUAACGGUCCUAAGGUAGCGAAAUUCCUUGUCGGGUAAGUUCCGACCUGCACGAAUGGCGUAACGAUGGCGGCGCUGUCUCCACCCGAGACUCAGUGAAAUUGAAAUCGCUGUGAAGAUGCAGUGUAUCCGCGGCUAGACGGAAAGACCCCGUGAACCUUUACUAUAGCUUUGCACUGGACUUUGAAUUUGCUUGUGUAGGAUAGGUGGGAGGCUUUGAAGCGUGGACGCUAGUCUGCGUGGAGCCAAUCUUGAAAUACCACCCUGGCAACUUUGAGGUUCUAACUCUGGUCCGUUAUCCGGAUCGAGGACAGUGUAUGGUGGGUAGUUUGACUGGGGCGGUCUCCUCCUAAAGAGUAACGGAGGAGUACGAAGGUGCGCUCAGCGUGGUCGGAAAUCACGCGUAGAGUAUAAAGGCAAAAGCGCGCUUAACUGCGAGACCGACAAGUCGAGCAGGUACGAAAGUAGGUCUUAGUGAUCCGGUGGUUCUGUAUGGAAGGGCCAUCGCUCAACGGAUAAAAGGUACUCCGGGGAUAACAGGCUGAUACCGCCCAAGAGUUCAUAUCGACGGCGGUGUUUGGCACCUCGAUGUCGGCUCAUCACAUCCUGGGGCUGAAGCCGGUCCCAAGGGUAUGGCUGUUCGCCAUUUAAAGUGGUACGCGAGCUGGGUUUAGAACGUCGUGAGACAGUUCGGUCCCUAUCUGCCGUGGACGUUUGAGAUUUGAGAGGGGCUGCUCCUAGUACGAGAGGACCGGAGUGGACGAACCUCUGGUGUUCCGGUUGUCACGCCAGUGGCAUUGCCGGGUAGCUAUGUUCGGAAAAGAUAACCGCUGAAAGCAUCUAAGCGGGAAACUAGCCUCAAGAUGAGAUCUCACUGG